AUGGCACUUCAAACACAGUUCACAACUUACUUCACCACCAAAACACAUCACUCGUUCUCUCCCAACCUCACAGUGAGAUCUGAAAAACCAUCUGAACCGUCCAAUUCAGUACCCAGAAAAUCCGGGGUGGGUUUUGGUCCGUAUAAUGUGAACACUAAAAGGAAACAGAAGGGACAAAGAGAAAGAGGUUCGAUAAUUCAUCGUAAUCCAGUUGAAAAAUCGGCGUUAGUUAAGGAACAAGAACCGGUUCAACAGGAAUAG